CCUACGGGAGGCAGCAGUAGGGAAUCUUCCACAAUGGACGAAAGUCUGAUGGAGCAACGCCGCGUGAGUGAAGAAGGAUUUCGGUUCGUAAAACUCUGUUGCAAGGGAAGAACAAGUAGCGUAGUAACUGGCGCUACCUUGACGGUACCUUGUUAGAAAGCCACGGCUAACUACGUGCCAGCAGCCGCGGUAAUACGUAGGUGGCAAGCGUUGUCCGGAAUUAUUGGGCGUAAAGCGCGCGCAGGUGGUUCCUUAAGUCUGAUGUGAAAGCCCCCGGCUCAACCGGGGAGGGUCAUUGGAAACUGGGGAACUUGAGUGCAGAAGAGGAUAGUGGAAUUCCAAGUGUAGCGGUGAAAUGCGUANAGAUUUGGAGGAACACCAGUGGCGAAGGCGACUGUCUGGUCUGUAACUGACACUGAGGCGCGAAAGCGUGGGGAGCAAACAGGAUUAGAUACCCUGGUAGUCCACGCCGUAUACGAUGAGUGCUAAGUGUUGGGGGGUUCCCGCCCCUCAGUGCUGCAGCUAACGCAUUAAGCACUCCGCCUGGKGAGKACSSYCNCMAGAMUGAAACUCAAAUGAAUUGACGGGG
rnacentral:rRNA from 1 species